AUCAAGAGUCCUGUGCUCCUCUGACUGAGCCAGCCAGGCGCCCCACAUUAAUGCCUUUCUACAAAGUAAAAAAACCCGGCACGAUCCCAGCCCUGAGUAACUGUGAUUUAUUUUCAGGUCUUGAACAUUUCCAACUCUGUCAAUGAUUCAAAGUCGGUUUGUGUUCAGUGGACAUUAGUCAGACUUCUCCCAGCACAACACACAGUAGCUCAAAGAAUACUUUUUAAUUCAUUUUGAUGUCACGAAGUUCUUUCACAGGAAGCAACAAGAACACAAAGGGGAAAAGUCCUAGACCUCAGUGUGGGUCUCAGACGCUGCCGUCUGCCCACGGUCGCGUUUCUCCGGCAUUAAUUCUAAUGGCUUCUGCCAUCUCUACAGUUGAAAACGUUUGUUACACUGGUACAAACUUCUGGUCUUUUUCUACAAAACAGAGAAAAAUGGCUCACAGCAAGUGUUGCCAUGAUUUGGCCCGUGGCCACCGCAGACGAGGAGGUUCAGACCUUGCCCCGUGGACGGGGCGGAUCCUGCUGGCGGCACAGCCCGGUCCUGGCAGCUCCCUGCAGUCUCCUCCGAGGAGCCCAUGGCCUCCUGUCUCGAGGCACGGCUAGCGGCUGACCUUGACCAUGGGCAAAUGCCUCGUAGUCUGACUAAACUGCACCCAGAAAACAGGAUCAACUCAGAAGACUACUCGCAGCUACCCUUAUUCCGCUUCUGCUCUCGAAUGCCGGGAGCACACAGUGCCAGGGCCGCCCAGCCCAGGGCGCUCUCCGGCUCAGCCUCGUGGGCCAGAUGACGUCCAUGGAAGGCUGAGCAGGAAGCGUGCCAACGUGCAGCUUCCGCCCAUGCUCCUCAAACUUAACUGAACCUGCCACAAUUCCUCAGAACACAGGUUUUGCUUUCUAAGAAGCUCAAUAGCCCUCCACCUGCGAAGCAGUAGAGACCUCAGAGGCUCCACCAGACCCCUGAUCGCAUCAUCAUGCCCUCAGCUCAGGAAACUUCGAGUAGCUCAAGCUGUGGAGGCUAAUUUAAAUGCCACCUUCUGGCCAGGGACCUGUCUGUUCCUGGUAAGGAAGCUCCGUGGACCCCAAGAGCACUGGCAGGACGUGGGGGAGACCCAGACUUGUGCACACGCUCCUCCUGAGACCACUGUCCCCUUCCUGACCUUCUCCCCUCACUGCCAGGACCUCGUGAAAACCAGUCUCAAGAAGGGCUCAUGAUGAAAGCCAAUCACCUACUUCCCCUUAAAGCCUCAUCAGAACGGAUCCCCGGCCAGUAAGGGUCUCAAGCAGUGUGAGUGAAAACCACCACACGUCCGCCAG